rnacentral:rRNA from 1 species
UACGUAGGGAGCGAGCGUUGUCCGGAUUCAUUGGGCGUAAAGAGCUCGUAGGCGGCUUGGCAAGUCGGGUGUGAAAACUCCAGGCUCAACCUGGAGACGCCACCCGAUACUGCCAUGGCUAGAGUCCGGUAGGGGACCACGGAAUUCCUGGUGUAGCGGUGAAAUGCGCAGAUAUCAGGAGGAACACCGGUGGCGAAGGCGGCACUCUGGGACGGUACUGACGCUGAGGCGCGAAAGCGUGGGGAGCAAACAGG